AUAAUAGGUUUUUAGUCAAUUAUCCUUAAACACCAAUCAUGUCGUUGUAGUAUUUUAGGUUGUCAAUCCAAAUGGGUAUGAUGCUAACAAUCAAGAUGUGAAUAGAGUUCACAGAGUCAAGCCAAGCAAAAACAAGUUUUGGUGUGUUCUAGCAGUCCUAAGUGAACAUGCAGAAAACAAAAAUUCAAGCAGUAAUAGUAAAAACAAUCGACCAACACAGCUUGUUGCCAAGCACUAGGUGUGGUCGAGUGACAGGUCGAGUAACAGACAGAAAAUGUAACAGGGAUACUCGACUGCACAGUCUGUUGCCAGACAACUGGGUGGUCGAGUACUUGGUCGAGUAACAGGAAAGAAAUGCAAAUACUAAGCAACAGGUAACAAGAUGUAGUAAAUGAUAGCAGAGAAAACAAAGAAAUCAAUCAGAUAAAGAAUCCCGAGGAUGGGGUAAUUGAGUAGUUUCGUUUCCUCAGUUUACAGGUGAUUGACAUGCUCAAUAAAUUAUCCUGAGACAGAGACCCUCAUGUUAAACUAGUCCCAGACUCAAUCACCAUUGACGAGAGCUAACCUAACAUGCAUUACAAAUCAACAAGUUAAAGCCAAAACGCUCCCUGCAACCAAUACCUUGGUACAGAGCCACGAAUCUCUGGAAAUAGUGGUUCAGACAUUUCAUCGAACACCUUUUGGGCGCGGAAAUGUCUGGGCUCAAAUUCCAGUUGAUGAGAAAGCAAUAGGCAUUAAGAACAACUAAUGCAAAAGGGAUCUAUAAAUCAAACUCAACCACCUAGCAUACUGAGAAUUCUAAACUAGUCUAACUCAUCCUCAGAAACCUAUUCACUACUUAGACAUCAUUGUAGAGAACAUAAACGUUGAAUAGAAUGAAAACAUGAUAACAGCAGAGUAUUAACAAGAUGAUAAUAGGAUGAACAACAGUAAACCACAUCAAAAGCAAAUGCUGAAUACUGAAUAGAUUAAGAGAAAUCAAGAUUACAAAAUGUCAAGAACAUAAUGUAUGCGGAAUAAAACUUAGAUUCACGAAAAUGUAAAGUACAUGCUACUUAUAGCGAAAUAUUCUGAAACCCUAAUACUCCAAACGACGCAGUAUACAGUAUUGGGACGGAUUAAGAACGAUCCUCGACCUAGGUGGUCGAGUGAAUGGUCGAGUGAUAUGCUAGAGUCUUCUUUUCUUCCUUGCGCUCGAGUGUCUGGUUGAGUGCAGAAUGGAGAAGACUCUGAAGCUGGCAGUCGAGUAUGUCGAGUGAUUGAGAUGGUGGUACUCGGCUUGGUGGUAGAGUGAUCGAGUGAAGGUGAUGUAGGUACUCGACCAUGUGGUCGAGUGAUGUGAUCGAGUGACUCUCAUGGUGGUACUCGACCAGGUGGU
rnacentral:sRNA from 1 species